GUACUCGAGCGGCGAACGGGUGAGUAACACGUGAGUAACCUGCCCCUGACUCUGGGAUAAGCCCGGGAAACUGGGUCUAAUACCGGAUACGACCACUUCUCGCAUGGGAUGGUGGUGGAAAGUUUUUCGGUCGGGGAUGGACUCGCGGCCUAUCAGCUUGUUGGUGGGGUAAUGGCCUACCAAGGCGACGACGGGUAGCCGGCCUGAGAGGGCGACCGGCCACACUGGGACUGAGACACGGCCCAGACUCCUACGGGAGGCAGCAGUGGGGAAUAUUGCGCAAUGGGCGAAAGCCUGACGCAGCGACGCCGCGUGGGGGAUGACGGCCUUCGGGUUGUAAACCUCUUUCAGCAGGGACGAAGUUGACGUGUACCUGCAGAAGAAGCGCCGGCUAACUACGUGCCAGCAGCCGCGGUAAUACGUAGGGCGCAAGCGUUGUCCGGAAUUAUUGGGCGUAAAGAGCUCGUAGGUGGCUUGUCACGUCGGGUGUGAAAGCUUGGGGCUUAACUCCAGGUCUGCAUUCGAUACGGGCUGGCUAGAGGUAGGUAGGGGAGAACGGAAUUCCUGGUGUAGCGGUGAAAUGCGCAGAUAUCAGGAGGAACACCGGUGGCGAAGGCGGUUCUCUGGGCCUUACCUGACGCUGAGGAGCGAAAGCGUGGGGAGCGAACAGGAUUAGAUACCCUGGUAGUCCACGCUGUAAACGUUGGGCGCUAGGUGUG
rnacentral:rRNA from 1 species